rnacentral:lncRNA from 1 species
CCGAGAUGCUCACGUUUUGUGGGGUGGGAGAGUGGCCAGAGAUGGGGUGAUGAUUAUGAUGAAGAAGGUGAAGAAGCAGAUGAGGAAGGGGAAGAAGGAGGAGAUGAGGAAAAUGAUCCAGACUAUGACCCAAAGAAGGAUCAAAACCCAACAGAGUGCAAGCAGCAGUGAAGCAGGAUGGUCUACCUUCCGCUUCCCUGGAAAGGAUGAAUUUACAUCAUUUGACAAGCCUAUUUUCAAGUUAUUUGUUGUUUGUUUGCUUGUUUUUGUUUUUGCAGCCUAAAAUAAAAAUUUCAAAUACAAAAAAAA